UUUUGUUUACCGUUUUGUACGUCCCCAGAAAAAGAUUCAAGUGCGUUAAUUGUCAACGAGUCUUCGGAUUAUGGCUCUGAUUUUGAUGAAUAUGAUUCUGGCAGCAUUUGGUAGCAAGACGGAUGUAGUUAUAUGAUGAUACCGAAUCAACAAUGUUUGAAUUUGAAAAAGAAACAGAUUAUUCAAAUUCAUUUCCCUGGUUAGGGCUGGGCUUUACAAUGGGAUUUUCAGCUGUGGAGCUAUAAAGAAUUACUACAUAGGGUUUCCAAUGUAGUUUUGUGUACAGAAUCCAGAAAUAAGAAGAGAAAAGACAAUGCAGAUGCAGCAUUAGAAUUACCAACUACUUAUCACUGCUGAGGAAAUGGUACCUGAUUUGAGUACUACUCUUGCGUAUUUGGAGACAGUCCAGUUGUUCUUUAAACCAGAAGUGGAAAUUUCAGUGCUUGUUAAAUUUUCUCCAGAAGUUAUUGGAUGAUACAUUGGAAGAAAAUGGGAUCAUACUGAACAAAAUAGUUUGGAC